CUCAGGACGAACGCUGGCGGCGUGCUUAACACAUGCAAGUCGAACGAAGCUUGAUUACAGAUUCUUCGGAUGAAGUAUGAUAUGACUGAGUGGCGGACGGGUGAGUAACGCGUGAGUAACCUGCCCUUCAGAGGGGGAUAGCGUUUGGAAACGAACAGUAAUACCGCAUAAAGUAUUUUGACCGCAUGAUCGAAAUACCAAAGAUUUAUCGCUGUAAGGAUGGACUCGCGUCUGAUUAGGUAGUUGGUGGGGCAACGGCCUACCAAGCCGACGAUCAGUAGCCGGACUGAGAGGUUGAUCGGCCACAUUGGGACUGAGACACGGCCCAGACUCCUACGGGAGGCAGCAGUGGGGAAUAUUGCACAAUGGGCGCAAGCCUGAUGCAGCAACGCCGCGUGAAGGAAGACGGUUUUCGGAUUGUAAACUUCUGUUCUUAGUGAAGAAUAAUGACGGUAGCUAAGGAGCAAGCCACGGCUAACUACGUGCCAGCAGCCGCGGUAAUACGCAGGUGGCAAGCGUUGUCCGGAAUUACUGGGUGUAAAGGGAGCGCAGGCGGGUGAUCAAGUCAGCUGUGAAAACUACGGGCUUAACCCGUAGACUGCAGUUGAAACUGUUCAUCUUGAGUGAAGUAGAGGUUGGCGGAAUUCCGAGUGUAGCGGUGAAAUGCGUAGAUAUUCGGAGGAACACCGGUGGCGAAGGCGGCCAACUGGGCUUUAACUGAUGCUGAGGCUCGAAAGUGUGGGGAGCAAACAGGAUUAGAUACCCUGGUAGUCCACACUGUAAACGAUGAUUGCUAGGUGUGGGGGGUCUGACCCCUUCCGUGCCGGAGCUAACGCAAUAAGCAAUCCACCUGGGGAGUACGACCGCAAGGUUGAAACU
rnacentral:rRNA from 1 species